AUUGAACGCUGGCGGCAGGCUUAACACAUGCAAGUCGAACGAGUGGCGUACGGGUGAGUAAUGCUUGGGAAUCUCGCUUUUAGUCUAGGAUAACUACCCGACAGGGUGGCUAAUACUUGAUGCUCAGAGAUGAGCCUAUGUGGGAUUAGCUAGUUGGUGGGGUAAUGGCUCACCAAGGCGACGCUCUCUAGCUGGUGUUAGAGGAUGAGCAGCCAAACUGGGACUGAGAAACGGCCCAGACUCCUACGGGAGGCAGCAGUGGGGAAUAUUGGACAAUGGGCGAAAGCCUGAGCCAGCAAUACCGCGUGUGUGAAGAAGGCCCUAGGAUUGUAAAGCACUUUUGUUAGGGAGAUGUUACCUAAAGAAUAAGCACCGGCUAACUCCGUGCCAGCAGCCGCGGUAAUUC
rnacentral:rRNA from 1 species